GGAGGUACUUCAGUUCUGGGUUAGGAACCACGGCUAUAAGCUUUAUUUAUUUUAUUUUUUUUAAACCUUACUUGUUAUAACUUCAAGAUCCCACACUAUCCAUUGUGUGCUCGUGAGGUAGAAAUAUGGCCUGUGGGAACUGCACAUGGUCACUUCAUGUGGCCUGGAGCCAGCAGAUGGACCAAAUAUGGGACAUUCAUUGCAAGCGUGGGUAUUGGGGAAAGCCUCAAUGCGUGUGGUGCACACAGUUCCUUAAUCCCAUGUGUACCAUAAUUAAAUAGUAAUAUCAAG